AUUUAUAUAGUUUAAUAAAACAUUACAUUUUCAUUGUAAAAUUAAAAUUUUCUUUUUUAUAAAUA
rnacentral:tRNA from 1 species